GUGCUCACUUCAGCAGCAUAUAUACCAAAACUGGAACAGUAUAGAUUAGCAUGGCCUCUGCACAACGAUGACACACAAAUUUGUGAAGUGUUCCAUAUUUAA
ensembl:snRNA U6 U6 spliceosomal RNA